GAUCCACCCCUACCCUCUGCUAACUUCAUGUGUUCUUUCUUCUUCUUUUUUUAAUCCUACCAAGUUCGACUUAAGAAGCUCAUCUACUCAGGAGUGUGGGACCAUCCCUUGGAGUAUGGCUAGCUAAAAAGCACAGACACUCUUUCCCCAGAAGCCUCACCUGGCAAGAGUUCCUCAGCCAGAGCUUAGAGACUGUCAGUCUAAGGUUCUUGAAGAUGAAGCCUGAUAUCCACUUUCCUCAGCCUACCUUGACUUACAUCGAGACAGCAAGACCAGCGAGGCUGCCUCUGACCCAUACACUCCUUCCUUCCCUUUGAACACAGUCUUGUGUGGACUGGACACGGUGUUGGGAGCAGCAACUAACAUCACAUGGCUGUGACAGAGCCUGAGAGAAUCGCGACACUCGUAUCUGACCUGCCAUGAUCCAUCUGGUGAGUUAACUGAGCCUGAGUCCACCUGGUUCCUGGCUGUAUUAUUGGUCCGAGGUGAGACCACUUAGAAGUAAUGGCGUGUGAUUUCCACUUCUGGAAAGAUCGGAAGAAUAAAUUGUUCUAAGUUUUGACACCAGAAGUGGGAAAUUCCACAGGAAACUGUGUUUUGUGCACAAUGUUAUUGAAAGUAUCUGUCUAUCCAUGUGUGUGAAGUGUCCAAAAUAUCAGUAAAUCCUUUUGUGUGUAGGCUUGGA
rnacentral:lncRNA from 1 species